GUUAGUUAUUAUUUCUAUACUAAAACCCAAAUGCCAGUGUACUGUUCACGGACAGUGGAGUGGCGAAAAUGCCCUCCAACUUUUUUCCCAUCAGCUUUUUCUACAGUACAAUGACGAUUCUACCCUUGGCAACCACGCGUCUGUCAUCGGUGGUUCUUCCGCUCCAGUUCUACUCCGCCUUUUCUUUGGGUUCCCUUCUCUCUCUCCCUCACCAUUUUCAGCUUUUCCUUAUUUUGGAGCCUAGGUUUUUUCUCUCUCCCACGCCUUCGUUGUUCUCGCUAUCCGUCCUUCGCGUCUUUGUCUCGCCGAUUAUUCACGGCCGUUUUCUUCUCGGAAAACUAACGAUCUCUGGAAAAGUUAUCAAUGCGAUCUAAGGUUUUUUGCAAAAGAAGUUGUUUGAAUUUUGGCCUUUCUGUCUGCAACCUGGCAAGCUGUUUGCGAUCAAGAUCAAUCCUGCAAACC